rnacentral:lncRNA from 1 species
UUCUUCAAACCCACUCGCACUUUUUAUUCCUUCCUCACUGUUUCGAAGAUCGCCGGAGUUCAAGUUUUGGCCGGAUAAGGAAGCUCACGCCGAAGAACUCACCACUUGCCGGAGUUGCGAGGACGAUUCGGAGAUCACACCGGGGACUCGACUCGACUCGUUACCACCGGCAACACGCCGGAGAGACUACAGCCUGCCGGAGUUGUGAAAACGUCACUGGAGCACAAGUCGAAACACGUAUCUCGUUUUGUCGAUGUAUCAACUCACUAGAAUUGAAUAUUGCGGACAUAAUUGAAAAGAUUUGCCACACUUGUUCCACUCGUAUGGGUUAUUGACGAUUUCGCUUUCACAACUAAGGCUAGUUUCAUUCGUUGAAGCUUCCCAAUCUUACUCGUGCGUUAUUACAAGAAAUCGCAACGCAAUCAAUUAACAUCGUUUCGAGUAUAUACUGUCAAUAUGGUUGAAAGUACAAGAUUCAAGAAUCAAGCUAGGAUGAACUCUAGAAACCCACAUAACAUUUGAAUUAUUGUUGAACGAUAUGUUGUAUUGUUUGGAACUAUGUAUUUCACUUUAGAGUUUAUGAAAUGAAUUAAAUAAUUAUUGUC